rnacentral:tRNA from 1 species
GGGGUUGUAGCUCAGAGGUACGAGCGCUCGCUUCGCAUGUGAGAGGUCGCCGGUUCGACCCCGGUCUGCUCCA